rnacentral:rRNA from 1 species
AGAGUUUGAUCCUGGCUCAGGACGAACGCUGGCGGCGUGCUUAACACAUGCAAGUCGAACGGUAAGGCCCUUCGGGGUACACGAGUGGCGAACGGGUGAGUAACACGUGAGUAACCUGCCCCGGACUCUGGGAUAAGCAUUCGAAAGGGUGUCUAAUACUGGAUAGGACUCCUGCCUGCAUGGGUGGGGGUGGAAAGAUUUUUUGGUUCGGGAUGGGCUCGCGGCCUAUCAGCUUGUUGGUGGGGUGAUGGCCUACCAAGGCGUCGACGGGUAGCCGGCCUGAGAGGGCGACCGGCCACACUGGGACUGAGAUACGGCCCAGACUCCUACGGGAGGCAGCAGUGGGGAAUAUUGCGCAAUGGGCGGAAGCCUGACGCAGCAACGCCGCGUGCGGGAUGACGGCCUUCGGGUUGUAAACCGCUUUCACCCAUGACGAAGAUUUUUUUGACGGUAGUGGGAGAAGAAGCACCGGCCAACUACGUGCCAGCAGCCGCGGUGAUACGUAGGGUGCGAGCGUUGUCCGGAAUUAUUGGGCGUAAAGAGCUUGUAGGCGGUUUGUCGCGUCGGAAGUGAAAACUCGGGGCUUAACUUCGAGCUUGCUUCCGAUACGGGCUGACUAGAGGAAGUUAGGGGAGAACGGAAUUCCUGGUGGAGCGGUGGAAUGCGCAGAUAUCAGGAGGAACACCGGUGGCGAAGGCGGUUCUCUGGGACUUUCCUGACGCUGAGAAGCGAAAGCGUGGGGAGCAAACAGGCUUAGAUACCCUGGUAGUCCACGCCGUAAACGGUGGGCACUAGGUGUGGGGGACAUUCCACGUUCUCUGUGCCGUAGCUAACGCAUUAAGUGCCCCGCCUGGGGAGUACGGCCGCAAGGCUAAAACUCAAAGGAAUUGACGGGGGCCCGCACAAGCGGCGGAGCAUGCGGAUUAAUUCGAUGCAACGCGAAGAACCUUACCUGGGUUUGACAUAUGCCGGAAGCAUUCAGAGAUGGGUGUGCCUUUUU